GGGAUGGCGCUGCCCACGCCGCGCUACGAGCACCUGGGCCCGCGGGGGCCCUUCGGGGACGUGUACGAGCCGGCCGAGGACACCUUCCUGCUGCUCGAUGCGCUGGAGCGGGACGCGGACAGGCUGCGGGAGGCUCGAGUCGAGAUCUGCCUUGAAAUAGGAUCUGGAUCUGGUGUGGUUUCAACAUUUCUGGCUUCUUCCAUCCUUGGACCCAGUGCGCUGUACAUAUGCACAGAUAUCAACCCCAUGGCAGCUUACUGUACCCAGGAGACAGCUCUACUUAACAAUGUUCACCUGCAGCCUGUCAUUACUGACUUGGUCAAAGGAUUAUCCCCAAGAUUAAAUGGGAAGGUUGAUCUGCUGCUGUUUAAUCCACCAUAUGUGGUAACACCUUCUGAAGAGGUGAAAAGCCAUGGAAUAGAGGCAUCCUGGGCUGGGGGCAAACAGGGCAGAGAAGUAAUGGAUAGAGUUUUCCCAUUAGUACCAGACCUGCUUUCACCAGGAGGAUUAUUCUACUUGGUCACAAUUAAAGAAAAUAAUCCAGAUGAAAUUCUGGAAACAAUGAAGAAAAGUGGCUUAAAAGGCACACGAGUACUUUCCAGACAAGCAGGACAAGAGAUGCUGACAAUCCUCAGAUUUAGGAAGUCUUGAUAACUUCUCUUCACCCACCAGGAUCAGCGUUCUCAGCACGGAUCACUUUGGCCAUGAUUAAGGACCAGAGUCUUCCACGUCUCCCUCUGACCUUCAGAGAAGAAGAAAGAGCCUGGUUAAAAUACACAGAUGCUCAGAGUUCACCACAAGAGCAUUUGGAGGAAGUUUGGAUGAGAGCACAGAUGGAAAUACAGUGGCACUUUAUACAAUGCAAAAUGUGAAGGCAGAGUAAGGAGUUGUUUCACUUGUUCUCACAUACCUGUCAAAAAUUUUGCUUCUCUACUACUCAGGGUACUGAACUUCUCAUCUCUUCCAACAUAUGAAGAUGUUCCAGCAGCAGAUAAGGAGGAUUCUCCAAUUCUUCAAUCCCUUGUAAUGAGCACAACAGUUCUGCAGCUCAUUAAACACCUUCCCCAAGCUUCAGAGAAGGCUUCUCAAGGAAUGAUGGAAAAUAUUAUUUUUAGUAAUUUUUGUGUUUGGAUGGAGUUUGUGAUGAUCAGGAGAAUCCUGCUGAUGUUUGUGAGGAACUGAAAAGGCCUGACAAAAAUUCCAAUCCAGCCUAAAUGAAAAAUAUUUAUGGAAGGAAACUCCUCGAGUACAAGUGCACAGACAGCAGGGCUCCACUUGAACCAAAACACUCUCACCACAAAUUGUGUUUUUGUGCACUGAAGACACCUGGUGGCUGCAUCUACAGCCAGCUCCGAGAGAAAAAUUGGUUAUUCAGGGAAGUUUUUCUCUUGUUGAGACUUAAUUACCACCUUGAGCCAUUCUAUUUUUAUGGUAUCAUUAUGAUACAAAUGAGAUCUUUUCAGUCUCCAAAUGGUAGGUUAGAUUUUUUAGUUUUGUUUUUUUUCUAACUCAGUCCAUGGAUUUGCGACACUGCAAGAGUCUAGUUUUGCUUUAAAAGCAUGUUUCAAGGGAUAGUAAAUGCUAAAUCAAUAUAAAGUAAGUAUUUGUCAAAGUAAGGAUGAGAGUCCUAAUCCUAAACUGUAUAAUUAGGAAAUGGAGAUGGCAGAAAAAGAUGUCACCAGAUGGGCACUGAUUUGCACUGUCUGUAGUAACUCAGUAACUUCGCUGAAUCAUAGCAGACAUGAGGUAUUUAAAACCCCUCAUUCAGUGCAAUUGAAUUCAAAGGACUAAUUCAAUGUAAACACAGCUGGCACAGUUCUCUCUGUUGGAUAGGAUUAUUUUUGAAGAAGAGGGUGAAAUUCAGACCAGAGGAUUGCUGUAAAUAGAAACGUUCUUUACCUGAUUCAGUCCCCUUUGUCAGGGCUGUUCCGACUUUACUGAAUGCAAGUGAAAAGAAAAACCCAACCCUAACCUAUGCAAUGUUCUUUCUGUCCCACCUCAGUUUUUCUUCUGACAAGACCAACGUUCUAUUUCGGGGCUGCAUUUUUCCUGUUUGCAGGAAACCACAGGGUGAGACACAGUGUGCUGGGAGUGGGCUCCAGGAAGUCUGCUGAAAAUUACCUUUUAACACUGUGCCUUAAAGGAACAGCAGCAUUCCAGUAUCCCGUCAGCUCCUUGCCUGAGCUCAGGAUUUGCUGCUGUGCCGGCCAAGGUGGCUCCUGCAGCUUUACUCCUGUGAUUCCCUGUUAAAGGAGGGAUCAGCUCCUUCACUUCGGUGCAAGUCCUUCACAACACGAGAUUCUUUGCAUCUCUCCACUUUUCCCUUGGGAAUUUCAGUUCCAGGAGAUGUGCUGAGCCUUGCUAAACCAAAGCACACAUCUUGAGCCAGGUUCUGAACUGUAGGCUGAGCUUAGGUGCUCUCACAGGGGAGCUCAGUUCAGGCAGUCCAGAGCUGGUUAAAGCUUCACUCGGGGGUUUGCUGUCUGUAAAACACUUCCCUAAGCACAGCCAUGGGGACUGUAGCUGUUGGAUUUGUCUUGAGGUAAUGACAGGCUUCAGAAAUAAGGGGAGGGAGGAAGCAAUUUAAAGCUAAUUAUAGAAAUUAAGGUGAGAAGGUGUCAAUUACUGCACUAAAAUCCAAUGCUGAAUUUGAGCUGUUUUGUAUGCUGCAGGACAGAUUAAAAAACCACUCGAGGCAAACCAAUAUACAAACCUCUCCUGAGAACCUCUAAAGUCCCUAAAUAUUUUUCUUCCAGCUCUAAACAGAACUACUGAACAAUAUCUUCAACUGAGCUGUAGUAGCUCUCUGUAUUCUGCCACUCAUCCUGCACUUUCUGCUUCUACCUGAGAUAUGCUUUUGGACAUGAAAGAGGUGGCUUCUACCACCACAUGAGCCACAAAUUCCAAACCCCUUGUAAAAAAGUGGUGGAAAGAGAAAGACAAAAAAAAACAAACCCCAAAACAGAACUGCCACAGAUUGUCUCUCCUCCAGCCUAAUGCAAAUAACAAAUGUCAGACCUAAUUAUCAGUAUCACUGUGGCCUGAAAGUUGUGUGUACUUGAUCCUGCUGCACCCUGGAUAUGGAUUGAACUGCUCUGAUUCAGUUAAAAAGUUAUGCAAGAGCCUCUUUAAUGUUCCCAUGAAGCAUUUCAAAAUGUCUGUCAGUCAAGAGAAGAACAUAC